CCGUCAAACUUUUGGCUACCCAGGAGGGGACAAACAGUACCUGACCACAGUCAUCCCAUAUGAAAGGAAAUCAGGCUCUCCAUCUGUAGAAGACCUCCAAAUCCUGACAAAGAUCCUCCACGCCAUGAGGGACGACAGCGAGAAGGUACCCGCCCUCCUAACAGACUACAUCCUCAAAGUUCUGUGUCCCACGUAAACUCACACAAGAAGAUGUUUCUCUUGAGCCAUCUAGUCCACCAGCAGAAAGAGGGGUUGGUAAACUGGAAAAAUCCAAAACUGGAAAAAAAAAAAAAUCCCCAACUUUCUUUCCUCUCAAAUUUCCACAUCAUGGAUGUUCGUUCCUUGUUUUAUUUUCUACUCUGCUAUCGUUCUUAAGCUUUUAAC